rnacentral:lncRNA from 1 species
CCCUAUCCCCACAGCGCCACCGUCCGCAGGUGCGCUUUGUGCAGGCGAGGCGCCUCCACUAUGGCCCCGCUUGACCCCGUGCGCAGGCGCGGCAUCCCACCCGCCGCGGUUCCUGCCCCCCAAAGCUCGACCCCGGUGUGGUGCGCAGGCGUAGUCUGCGCGGGGACUGGCGGGACUGCGCGGAGGCGACUACAGGCAUGGCGGUCUGGGUCCUGUCGCGCCUGCUGAGCGCUCCGCGCCUGGCGCUGGCCAAGGCGGUCCUGAGGCACGUGAAUGGCCAGGAUCAGAUUGUGCCCGGCCUGUACGCCUGUGGGGAGGCCGCCUGUGCCUCGGUACAUGGUGCCAAUCGGCUCGGGGCAAACUCGCUCUUGGACUUGGUUGUCUUUGGUCAGGCAUGUGCCCUGAGCAUCGAAGAGUCAUGCAGGCCUGGAGAUAAAGUCCCUCCAAUUAAACCAAACGCUGGGGAAGAAUCUGUCAUGAAUCUUGACAAAUUGAGAUUUGCUGAUGGAAGCAUAAGAACAUGAGAACUGCGACUCAGCAUGCAGAAGGAAUGGUCUGGAACACGGACCUGGUGGAGACCCUGGAGCUGCAGAACCUGAUGCUGUGUGCGCUGCAGACCAUCUACGGAGCAGAGGCGCGGAAGGAGUCACGGGGCACGCACGCCAGGGAAGGCUACAAGGUGCAGAUUGAUGAGUACGAUUACUCCAAGCCCAUCCAGGGGCAACAGAAGAAGCCCUUUGAGGAGCACUGGAGGAAGCACACCCUGUCCUAUGUGGACGUUGGCACUGGGAAGACCCGUAAUCGACAAAACUUUGAACGAGGCUGACUGUGCCACCGUCCCCCCAGCCAUUCGCUCCUACUGAUGAGACAAGAUGCGGUGAUGACAGAAUCAGCUUUUGUAAUUAUGUAUAAUAGCUCAUGCAUGUGUCCAUGUCAUAACUGUCUUCAUACGCUUCUGCACUCCGGGGAAGAAGGAGUACAUUGAAGGGAGAUUGGCACCCAGGCUGGGAGCUUGCCAGGAACCCAGUGGCCAGGGAGCGUGGCACUUACCUUUGUCCCUUGCUUCAUUCUUGUGAGAUGAUAAAACUGGGCACAGCUCUUAAAUAAAAUAUAAAUGAACAAACUUU